rnacentral:lncRNA from 1 species
GAACCACAACAAUACCCUAUGCCCUGUGCACUAUAUGGUCAUACAUCAUGCCACUCGGUUCAUUUUCUAUUUGUGAGCUUUAUUCAUCGUAUGCUUGUCUCAAAUAAUUAGUAUAUAGAAAGAAGAUGAGCUGAUCAAAAUGGUGCAGUAGUGUAGAAUAUAAUUUGCUAUUGUCAAAAGAUAUAAAAAAAUCUCUUACAAUAAAAUAGUAGUGAAUUUUGAUGUACUUUGGAUUUGAAUUUUUUUUUUUUUGAGGGCAUAUGGAACUGCUUAAAUCGAGAUAUUCGCUAUUAUUUUAAUCAAUUGCCUACUUGUCAUAUGCAAACCAAUUUAUGAAGCAUAAAAAAGUUGAAUAUCAUGCUUACUUAAGGAGAAGCAGGCUUGCGUGUUUAAAUCCUACAUACUUUACUGGUUACAAAUCAACUCUCUUUCAAUUCUUUGAGCAAUGGUCUGGCUUUCACCAAACAAAGAGCAUCCUGAUCUCCGUCACUAUUGCAUGAAUCAUGAAGCCCAGUGUUAGACCAUGACCUCUCACCACCUCCAGCUAGAAAGGUCUUCUCCACCUUAACUAAUAAAUAAAGAUAAAAAACAAGGACAGAACUUUCAUUUUCAACUAAUUGAUGAGAUCUAUGUCUUUUAUCCGGCAUAAUGCGACCACAUUGGUCCGUCUAGGGGAGUGACAGAGUCGAAGCACCAAACCUAGUAACCUUCUCCCUCUUCCCAUGUUGUCUCUGUCCCUUCAAGCAAUGGAGAGAUGAUUAGCCUUGCAAGUUCUAAAGAAUGUGAGAGCCCACCUAAUUCAUGCCUCCGCCAACCAUCCUAUGUUUUUUUAAAAAAAUCCCCUUGUCCCUCUCAAUGUUUUACUUUAACAUGAUUUAAACAGAGAGAGAAAGGUCCCGCCAAGGGAAGUGAGCCAUCUCUAUUUUAUCAUCACCCAGGAGUUGGUCUGAGUAAGGAGUCAAAAAGCG